GACAGGUAGAGAUGCGUUACGACUAAAGGCAUAAGUGUUAAGUACAAUAACUAACGCUAAUCGAUGAUGCAAGGGAGUAAGGAAUAGCCAGGGUGACGGAGAUUGAAAUCCUUAGACUAGGUUGGAAUAUCUAUCUUAGCUAAUAGCAUGGACUCUAAGUAAAGCAGAGUGUUGAUCCACUAAAGUGUAGAGAGACAAAUCAG
rnacentral:rRNA from 1 species